UACGAAGGGGGCUAGCGUUGCUCGGAAUUACUGGGCGUAAAGGGCGCGUAGGCGGCUUUGCAAGUCGGGUGUGAAAGCCCUCAGCUCAACUGAGGAAGUGCGCCCGAAACUGCAGAGCUUGAGUACCGGAGAGGAUGGCGGAAUUCCCCAAGUAGAGGUGAAAUUCGUAGAUAUGGGGAGGAACACCGGUGGCGAAGGCGGCCAUCUGGACGGAUACUGACGCUGAGACGCGAAAGCGUGGGGAGCAAACAGG
rnacentral:rRNA from 1 species